rnacentral:piRNA from 1 species
UAGAAAGUUUAGCUGAAUCUCCAAUCACUGU